GUCAUACUCCCUCCGUCUCGUAUUAAGUGACUUUCUAUUACAUCUAUCUAGACAUAUUUUGUAUAUAGAUACAUCCACAUUGAGACAAUUUUGUGUCACUUAAUAUGGGACGGAGGGAGUACAUU
rfam:Brachypodium distachyon strain Bd21 chromosome 4, whole genome shotgun sequence.